GGGUGCUGUCUAUGUGUUGACUCUCCCCUCAUCUUACUGGCAUACAUUGGGAUCCCUUGUCGCUGGGGGAGUGUUUCCGGCGGGCCUCUUUGAGUGCAGCACAGCGUCGAGUGUCUGUUCGCCCGCGCUUUUCAGGCUUCAAUGUGUCUCUCGGAAGAUUCUCUGUUUACGGACGGAGUUGCUUAGUGAUUUUAUCCGGCGACGGAGCUGCGUUCCUGAAAGUCGAAAUGCCUGUUAAAAGAUCACUGAAAUUGGAUGGUCUGUUAAAAGCAAAUUCAUUUGAUUCUCCUAAAAUCACAAGGAAGAAAAGUGCUGCAGCCUAUUCUCCAACAACUGGAACCUGUCCAAUGAGCCCAAUUGCUUCUCCCAGAAACUCAAAAAAACAGGAAAACAGAAAUGGACCAUCAAAUGGAAAGAGGGAAAACUUGAAUCACCUCAGUAUAAACAAAAGAAAGGAAUCUACUAUGCAAGACAAUGAAUUCAUGGUGUUGCUAUCUAAAGUUGAGAAAUCGUCAGAAGAAUUCAUGGAAAUAAUGCAAAAUUUAAGUAGUAUACAGGCUUUGAAGCGCAGUAAAGAGCUUGAAAAUCUCAUUGGUAUCCCCCAUGCAUCAUGUGUCUUUAAAAGAGAAAUGCAGAAAACAAAAGAACUAAUGACUAACGUAAUAAAGCAAAAACUAUUUAAAAAGAAGAAUUCAGGACUUCCCAACAAAGGCAUUUAGAAGAAACACACUCACUAUGAACGCCAACUUCUGUAUCUGCCUGAUCAUAUUUAAGGGAACAGAAGAAAUGUUUGUAAUUAAUCUGUGCAGUGAAUAGCAGAUCAUAGCAUAGGCAGAUCAGAUGACUCUCGCUUUAUCACCCUUGGAGGCCACAUGAAGGACAAAGCAGAAAGAUCCACACACAAAACUAAUGUUUAUAUGGAGGUGGUGUGGGGGGAGGAAGGCAAAAGGCGGGGGAUACACUUGGCCCUGAUCUUCCAAUAAACAUAACAGAAGGACCAAUUGAGACUUGAAACCAUUGUGUUACUCCAACCAUUAUUUAGUUACAUCCUAUCCAUCUCUUGCUCUCUUUCUAUUGAACAGAGAGGCUCCUUUGACUGCCUUGACUUUUGUAAAUGUUUCACUCACUUAGUUGUGGUUUAUCAUUUGGACAGAAUGCUACAUUGGGGAUUUUUCUCCCCUCCCUAAGGCUUCAAGGCAAAAUGACUUCUGUUGCCUCAUAGUUGAUACAUGAACAUACAGUGUAUUCUCUUCAUUUUAAGAAUCAAACCUAAGUUUAUGGCAACAGAGAAAACUCCAUUUUUCAGAAACAGCUUUUCCUUAUAAAAGAACUUGAAAAUAACUUUCCUAAGAUCAUUUUUUGACAGGUAUAUUAGUGAAUAAAGGGAUGCAUUUUUAAUAAUUUUUGUAUAAGCUAAAUGUCUUUAUAAUAAAAUAUCCUUGUUGUUAUUUUGGUAUUUAAUUGCUCAGAGUUCAAAGUGGACUCUUCUUAAAUUGGUUUCUAAUAGAUAUGAGAUACUUAUAAUUGCUACAAGUCUCCAGUAAAGCUACAGUGUAAACUCCACAUGACUAAAUACUCUAGAAAUGUAUUUUUAUUUAGAAUUUACCUAUAAGAUACCUUGAAUAUGAGUGUAUUCUACUUUACUAAUGUUUAUAUAUACUUUCAUUUUCAAAUAAUGUUUGUUUCAACUAUUUAGAAGUUAAAACUUCCUCAUCAUUGAUUUAAAUCAACAUCCUGUAUUAAAUGCAAGUAUUCUAUUACAAAAGAUAAGACUGCACCAGCCAGCCAAGAUGCUGACAUUUGGGCAUGGUGAUUAUAGAUGGUGACCAUGGACAGCGAUGUUCUUGCUGAUGCGGCAGCGACUCAAGGCUGCUUUUUCUGUGCUGACCUACCCUUUGAGUCUUUAUGCACAUUUGCUUUGAAAAAGAAAUACUUCUUGAUUUUUUGCUUUGUCUAAACCUACUUCUUUACUGGACUUAAAAACAUAUACCUUGUUGUAUCAGCUGUCCAUGUCUAGAACCAAAUUCUCUUAUGUGUGUAUAUGUGUUUGACUUGCAUUGUUUUAAAAUAUACCACCACUUAGUUAAUAUGCUUUAAUGGCUAUCUUAUUAAAGAAACAUAUUCAUUAAAAACAUAAG